GUAUCCCGGAGUUGAUGCAAAACCGGAAAUAGUAAUGCCUAAUUAUGCAUAGAAACCGCUGAAAUCUGAGCCUAAGUACACUCGCACGAGACAUCGAACUCGUGAAACAAUCUACGUUUAAAAUAUGGCUUUUAUAACUGGAAUACUACGGAAAAAACAAGGUUAAUACUCAAAACUAUCGGAACAUAGGAUGCCGGAAACACUGACAAAAGGACCCACGUCCUUGCACUUCGGUUGUUAGCACCGAAACAAAGGCCGCAAAACUGAUAACAAGCAUUAGUUUCAAGCUUCGGAUAAGUAAACAUUUAGUGAGACGUCAAAGUUCCCAUGUGCAGAUAAAAUUGUAGAAAACGUUCUUGGGCUUUGGAUUAAAAAAAUCAUUAGCCUACGGCACCAAAUACGGGCUUGGUGUACUUUGCACCUUCAAAACCGGAGAGAAAGUACAAAUAGGAUGGAUACCAGAAAGUCCAGAGAACAAAAACCAAGUGAAACUGGAAAGUCUUCUCAACUUACCCAAUUUUCAAGUCAGAUUGGACAGGGCAUCAUUAAAGCAGUUGACAGAGUCAUUUACUAAGGUAGCAAUAGCAAUUAUGUGUGAGGUAAUUAAUUGAUUUGCCAAUUACUUAAUUAGAUACUUAAUCCAACUUAUAAACUUAUGAUAUCAGUUUUUGAACAAUGUGCAUUAAUGGUCACAUGAAUAGUUUUGUUCAAGUUUAGUUAAGUAUGUAUUUUGAUCACUGAGUAACAGCACCACAUUUUGCCUAAAAAGGUGCUCAACCAAUUUAAACGAAAAUAACAAUGUCUUGUUUUCUAACAAGGUAGAAUUAAUUGGUUGAAUAAAUGCAAUUGCCUAAUAAAUAACUGUAAAUACAAAAUAAUUUGUGAAUAAUAUGGCAUAGGCUAGACUGUUUUAUUUAUACUCUCACUCACUCACUCUUUUUAUUUAUACACUCGCUCACAAUAUUGUUUUUUUCUAAAGUCGCCUUAAGUCGCCCAAAGUCAAUAACUUAUCUUUGCUAAAGUCACUCAAAGUCACGUCUUGUAACCUUAGGUUUUGCCUAUAGUUGCUGAGAGCUGUCCAAAGAAUCAGUGAUUAUAGGGCCCGGAGGAGGCCUAAUGAAUACCAUCACGUAAGUCACAUAUGCACAAAUGUAAUCAAGGCUUUUUAGUGAAAUAUAAAGUAACUUGGCUAUUCAUGAAAGCUUACGCAGCAACUCGGUUUGAUUAGAGAAAAAGGUUGACUUAAUAUGACAAAACGAUGUAUCUGAGCUAUAAGCUGCUUGAGUAGCGUUUACUAUUCAAUUGUAUUAUAAAAACUGCGAUAUAUUCAUUUUUGCUCACUGCAAGCGGCCAUUGAAUGCAUUUUUCUCUGUUUUUCCAUGAAUAUUGCAUAACCUUUUUAUCAAGAUAUUUUCCGCUUUGAAAUUUAACGCAACAUUAAUCUAAAUUAAAAUACCAUCACGUGAGCCACAUAUGCACAAAUGUGAACACCUUUUUAGUGAAAUAUAAAUUAACUUGGUUAUUUACGUAGUUUACUUAGCGACUUGGUUUGAUUAGUGAAAGGGUUGACAAAACAAUGUAUCCGCGCCAUAAGCCGCUUGAGUGGCAUUUACCAUACCUUUUUGUGUUGACUGAUAGGUGUAGUUUUAGGGGGAUCUAGGUGUCUUUAGAAUGUUUUUUAAUGAUCUAAAGAUAUGUCAAUUUUACUGCCAUGUAAUUAGAAAUUGUUUUGGCCCCUCGAAAUGGAUCAAGCAAGCACUCAUUCAAUAAUAUCAAAAAUGCAGUAUGAGAGUUGACAAAAUACCAAAACUUGGUGUGAAAAAGGCUGUCAAAGUUCAAGAUGUCUUAUUUAAUGAGAUUGCUUUUACAAAAGUCUAAUGGUCAAUUUUUAUUUUCCUUCAUAUUAGUUCCGCUAUGUAUAUUUUUUAUCUAAACACCAUUCUAACAAGCUUUGACUGUGAAGAAUCUAUCAAAGAUGUAACAGCAUUCGAAAGAUUUAGAUGGCAUACUGUAGUUUUCAUGUACCGCAACUGAUUAUUCAGAAGAAUUUGUUGAAACUAAACUCCAAAAA